UUACGAAGGGUGAAUCACCAUUUUUAUUACAUCAAAAUAAUCCUUUUAAUCAGGCACUUCGUA
rnacentral:tRNA from 1 species